AAAAUCCCAGGACUCCAACAGGGGUGGGGUAAGUCCUCGGUUCGAGGCUGGGCGCAGCCCUCAUCCUGUUUGUCCCCUUGAAGGAAGAUUUUUGGGGACAAAACCAAUGGGAUAUUUCCUAGGGCCAUCAGAAUGUGGUUGUAGAAAAGCAGCUUUCCCAUCUCACAGAAAUUCCCUGGCUUUUCAUUCAAUAACAGAUUAUUAAAAAAAAAACCAAAAAAACAACAAACCAACCAUCAAGAGUGCCCCUGUAAAAAAUUAAAUUAUAGGGAGGAAAAAAAAAAUCCAGGUGGGUUGAAAUACUUUUCAUUCCAAUUCACCUCUUAGAACUGCUUUAGCUGUCUGUAAAAUGGAAAUUCAAAAGAGCUACUUUUGAAUUUAGAAAAAGGGAAGAGUGGCCGUUCUUCGGUGCCAUGAAGACGCAACUGGCUUUGGGACACUUCUCCGUGUGGGAGUGGGAUCAUCCAUCCCCAGGCUGUGCAGGUGCCUGAGGCAGGUGGGAAUUCACCCCCCAAACCAACACCCAGUGGCAAGGCUGGGAAGCUGCUGGUCCCUCCUGUGUCACCCUGACCCGAGUCCCCAGCGCUGGGCAAAGGUUUGGGGGCAGCACCUGGGAGCAGGUUUGGGUCCAGCCUCCUCACAGAGUUUUGGGGUCUCUCUGAAGAUGUUUGGGUGCAAUAUCUGGGUGCAGCCUCCUCACAGGGGUUUUGGGGCCUCUCUGAGGUGUUUGGGUGCAAUAUUUGGGUGCAGAUUUGGGUCCAGCCUCCUCACAGAGUUUUGGGAGUGCCAUUCAUAGGAUGUAUGGCAGCAUUCUGUAAUACAUCAGUCCCACUUAUAACAUAAUAGCUGUAUAACUCAUACAAGGCUCUGGCUCAUGUGAGGCACGGAGGUCUACAUUCCACAGGGGAGGAAUAAGCAAUGCAGUUACACACCCUGUAGCUGGGUAAGAUUAGCAGGUUUGGGUGCAGCACCCCGACACAGCUCUGCUGCCCCAGGGGCUCUGGGGUGGGAUGUCGGGGUGUCACAGGAGGAGUCACAGAGCGCAGCUGGGGGUGUUGGGGUCUCUCUCUCGCUGUUCCCAUCUGUAAAUCGCCCCGUCCUGCCUCUGACCUCGAUGUCCCGAGCACUCUUUCCCCACCCGCCCCAUCCCCGGGGGGGGGGGGGGGGGGGGGGGGGGGGGGGGGGGGGGGGG
rnacentral:lncRNA from 1 species